GUACUCACUUCGGCAGCAUGUAUACUAAAACUGAAACAAUAUAGAGAAGAUUAGCAUGACCUCUAUGCAAGGAUGACACACUAAA
rnacentral:snRNA from 1 species